GGGAUGAAAUGGGCUUUACCAU
rnacentral:miRNA from 1 species